AAAAAAAACAAAAAUGGACGACAAAGCAAUUACGGGUAAACGCCGAUCUCAGAAUUGGCAAGAUGACGAGGAAGUGAUGUUAAUUGAGGAAGUUAAAACAAGAUCGGGUGCCUUGUUCGGCUUGAUGAAAGGGAGCGGGGCCAAAGGAAAGCUUAAAGUAACGCGAGAAAGGGAAUGGCAACUGAUUGCCGAUAAAUUGAAUUCACUAUACGACACCAAAAGGAGGACCUGGGAGGAGGUUAAGAAAAAAUAUUAUAAUGUCAAAUCAAGAAGCAAAGAAAAGCUGGAUGGAGUUAAACGCCCAAAAACUGGUGGUGGUCCCCCUCUCCCCCCUCUCACACAAGGAGAGGAGACAUUUCUGCGUCUUGCAGAUGGAGAGCCACAUCUCUCUGGUCUACAGGGGGUAUUGAUACAGAUGCUCCAAGCAUGUCUUCAGUUUCUCAGACAGUUGACCCUGCAGGUGACCACCUCGAACAAGGUUCAGAAGAACAGAGUUUGACAGAUACGCCUACCAUUAGCACGGUUACCUCAGUUGAGAAAGUUCCAACAGUUCAAGUGAAUCAUGGAGUGAAACGAAAAGGAAAGACAGAUGCAGGAGAAGGCAAAAGAAGAAGAUAUGAGGACCUAGAGGAGAAGAACUUGUUAUUAGACAACAAAAGACUGGAGGAGGAAUUACACAGGGUUCAAGAGAGAGAGAGAGAGAGAGAUUGAGAAUGAUAAUAAUGAUACACAAUGUCAUGUUUAAAUACAGAUAAAAUAAACAAAAAUGUUUCGUUAUCA
rnacentral:misc_RNA from 1 species